CGUGAUCAGCGCAGUCAGGAGAGGCUGACAGAUGGAGCCAAGUCCAGAAAGGAUUUAGCAAGGCCCUCUGGUCGGCCAUAAAUAAAGUGCUGGAGCCGGAAGGAGGUGCCACCCCAGAGACAAGGCAGCAACAGAUGGCGGGCCAGCCACCGCUCUCCCCGCAGCAGCUGUCAGCAACCCCGCCGGAGCCCCAGCACUGCGCCUGGCUGGCCAGCAGUUACGCGGUUUACGGAGGAAACCAAGGCACAAAGAGGCUAAGAAACUCGUCCAGGGCUCUCAGCUAAGACAUCCACUGAGCCAGGAUCCGACGCCUGAAGCCCAUGCCUUAGAGCUUCACAACAGUGAACGGUGGCAACAGGGAGCCACUGAAGGCUACGGAGAGCAGGAGUGGCCCGGUCAUUCUGCGUGGGGCUGAGUGACGAAGAGUUGGAGGAUGAGGAUGGAGGUGGAGACCCGGCGCCACACUCUGGGUUCUGCGGUGAUGGCAGCAGAUGGGCGACCCUGAGAUGAGCAGGUCCCCGAGCCUCCUCCGACAGGCGCUUCCCACGCCUUCAUCACAGGUCGGGUGGCCCCUGGGGUCCCCCUGCACCUCCUGCUCUGCCUGUGCUCCCCUCAAAGGUUCAAAGGCAGCCUUCGGAUGCUUGGAAAUGCAGCGAUAUCGGAGGGGUGACUCAGGAUGCCCUGUUUUUGGAAGUCCCCAUCUUCCCUUCGCUGGGGGAGGCUGGCACCAGUCGCUUAGGCGGCCUAUUCUGUUGUUUCCCUGCAGGUGACAUAUCCAAAGGGAGGAGGCGUUUCCCUGGGCGCCCUCAGUCCUGGCCCAAGGCUGCGGGGGCGGGGCACCGACAGGUGGGCAUCCUCCCCAGAAGCCUGCAGCCCCCGCCCUGCUGGGAGAGACCCCGAUGGGUCUGCGAGAAUAGCAAAAUAGGAAAUUCAUAUUAAUUUUCUGUUUAGCCAGGAUCUGGAUCUCAAAUCAGGCCCUGAGCCGAUUCAGAUUGACUGCAGCCUGUCUCCUGGGCCGUCAAUCAACGCCCGGUCCCCGCGGCAGCCCGCCUGGUCUGUGGUGCAGCACAGCUCAGUGCACCCAGACCGGGUGCGAGGGUUUGUAGCAAGACAGGCCAGCGAUGUCGCCUGGGCCCUGCCUCUGCAGGCCAGGCCACCCCGCCCCCCUGGUUUCCACACCAGCCCUCCCCACAAAAUUCUCCAGUUUGAUGUGGGGUGGAUUUUUUCCAGCUUGAUUCAGGUGUAAUUGACAACACUAGGAUACUUAAAGUGCACGUCGUGAUGACCUGAUACACGCGUGCAUCAUGAAAGGAUUCCCCCCACCUGGUUAAUUAGCAGAUCCACCGUCUCACAUAUUUAUCUGUUUUUGUGAGAACGUUUAAGUUCUGUCUCGGCAGAUUUCAGUUGAACAGUACAGAGUUAUCAACCAUCGUCCCCGUGCUCUGCAUCGCCCCUCAGAACUUACUCACCCUACGGCUGGAGCCCGUACCCUCUGACCCACCUCUCCCUGUUUCCCCGCCCCCAGCCCCCCGCACCCAGCUUUCUACUCUUUGCUCCUGUGAGUGACUCUUUUAGAUUUCACAUGUAAGUGACAUCAUGCGGCAUUUGUCUCUCUCAGUCUGGCUUAUCUCACUCAGCGCAAUGCCCUCAAGGUCCGUCCCUGUCGUCACAAAUGACAGGAUGUCCUUUCUCGCGGCUGAAUAAUAUUUGGAUGCGGCUUCUUCCCAUUAACUUUGCUGAACUUUGCCAUCUGCCACCAUUUGUCUGCUAGGGAACCAAGAUAAGACUCACUCGUCCACUCUUCAUGACUUCGCCUGAUCCCGUGGCCCACCCCCCGCCUGGCAUGGCUGACUGCCGCCUCAGCCGGCACUGGGACACCCACAACACUGCGGCCGCACGGCGUGGCCGGCCCCCGGCGCCUUCCAUCCACUCAUGCCUCUGGGAGUCGCUCCCCUCCCCGAGCCUCGUUUUCCUCACCUGCGAGAUGGGAACAACGUGACCUGCCGCAGGGACCUGGCACGUGCCUGCAUCUCAUCUAGGAAGCAUCCAAUUCACACAGCAAGUAUUUAUUUAGCGCCUCCUGCAUUCCAGGCCCUGUCUGAGGGUGGCGGGGGCAGGGGUGGACACCACAGUGAACAAAACGGACCAGUCUCCCUGCCUCCGCGGAGCUGAUGUUCCUGGACACCGGUCCUCAGCGAGGGGCUGUCUUGUUCCCCAGAAGACACCUGGCCGUUUCUGGAGACAGGUUUUGUUGUUUUGGUUUUUUUUGAGGAAGAUUAGCCCUGAGCUAAUUGCUGUCAAUCCUCCUCUUUUUGCUGAGGAAGACUGGCCCUGAGCUAACAUCCGCGCCCAUCUUCUUCUAGUUUAUUUGUGGGACGCCUGCCACAGCAUGGCUUGAUGAGUGGUGCUAGGUCCACGCCCAAGAUACCAAUUGCUGAACCCCAGGCCGCUGAAGUGGAACAUGUGAACUUAACCGCUGUGCCAACAGGCCGGCCCCUGGAGACAGUUUUGGUUUUCAUAACCCUGGUGGUGGGAGUGCUACUGGCAUCUGGAAGAUUAGCCCUGAGCUACCAUCUGCUGCCAACCCUCCUCUUUUUGCUGAGGAAGACUGGCCCUGAGCUAACAUCCGUGCCCAUCUUCCUCUGCUUUAUAUGUGGGACACCUGCCACAGCAUGGUGUGCCGAGUGGUGCCAUGUCCACACCCGGGAUCUGAACCGGAGAACCCUGGGCCGCCAAAGUGAAAUGUGCGAACUUAACCGCUGUGCCACCUGGCCGGCCCCUGACAUUAUUCUUAAAGUCACGAGAUUUUGACCAAGACAAUCACCUACUGAAAUUUACAUUUUAGGGGCCUAGGAGGGCUCUGGCACCCUCUGAGCUCCCACUGUGGGCCGGUCAGGUCCCCACACCAUCUCGGCUGAUCCACACAGCCCCCUCUGAAGGAGAGAUUAUUCUCUUUUCCCAGAUGAGCGGCCUGGGGCAUGAAUGGGCCCCCAGCUGGUCAGGGGCACAGCAGGAAUUCAGACAGAUACCAGACCAGGCUUUUUCAACCUUAUCCUGCUGCUUCCCCCUUCAGCCUGCUGCCUCUCCACGCGUUAGAAGAGAGUGGCACCCCGGGUCUGACCUUGCCAAAAUUGUCCGCUCCUCUAGGAAGGAAGAAAUCUCUACACUGAUCAGCAAAAUGUUUCUGUAAUUCUGGAAACCCAGUGACCAGGUCACUAGCUUUCAGGCUGUCUUGUCUCACAGCUGCUGAGGCUGAUAAGUGACGUUCCAUCUUUUUAGGCUAC
ensembl:lncRNA